UAAUAAGUGUUUUAUGGCACUUUUUAAAUCCAUAUCCACCUUGUGUGCAAUGUCAGUCGAUCUUCUUCAUGGAGAUCGACCAAACAUCAACCUUUAUCUUUUAAACUCUUUGUCUUAAAAAUAUUAUGAAUAAACAAUUCAAAAUA
rnacentral:misc_RNA from 1 species